UACGAAGGGGGCUAGCGUUGCUCGGAAUCACUGGGCGUAAAGGGCGCGUAGGCGGAUCUUUAAGUCGGGGGUGAAAGCCCAGGGCUCAACCCUGGAAUUGCCUUCGAUACUGGAGAUCUUGAGACCGGAAGAGGUAAGUGGAACUGCGAGUGUAGAGGUGAAAUUCGUAGAUAUUCGCAAGAACACCAGUGGCGAAGGCGGCUUACUGGUCCGGUCUGA
rnacentral:rRNA from 1 species